rnacentral:rRNA from 1 species
GCGCAGCAGGCGAGAAAACUUCACACUGUGCGAAAGCACGAUGAGGGAAUCCCAAGUGCUUGCACGUAAGUGUAAGCUGUUUCUCUGUUUAAAACGCAGAGAGAGUAAGGGCUGGGUAAGACGGGUGCCAGCCGCCGCGGUAAUACCUGCAGCUCAAGUGGUGACCGUUAUUAUUGGGCCUAAAACGUCCGUAGCCGGUUUAAUAAAUGCCUGGGUAAAUCGUGUAGCUUAACUAUACGAAUUCCGGGUAGACUGUUAAACUCGAGACCGGGAGAAGUUAGAGGUACUCCUGGGGUAGAGGUGAAAUUCUGUAAUCCUAGGGGGACCACCAGUGGUGAAGGCGUCUAACUAGAACGGGUCUGACGGUGAGGGACGAAGCCCUGGGGCGCAAACGGGAUUAGAUACCCGCGUAGU